rnacentral:rRNA from 1 species
GUCUACGGCCAUGCCACCCUGAACAAGCCCGAUGUCUGAUCUCAGAAGCUAAGAAAAGUCAAGCCUGGUUAGUACUUGGAUGGGAGACCACCUAGGAAGACCAGAUGCUGUAGGCA